rnacentral:rRNA from 1 species
CAAUAAGUGUAAACUUGACUUAGCCAUAGCAACUUUAGGGUUGGUAAAUCUUGUGCCAGCCACCGCGGUCAUACAAGAAACCCAAAUCAAUAGCCAUCCGGCGUAAAGAGUGGUCACAUGCUAUCUAUACCAAUUAAGAUCAAAGUGUAACUAAGCUGUCAUAAGCCCAAGAUUCACCUAAGCCCAGCCUAAAAAAUGAUCUUAACUUAACGAUCAAUUUAAAGCCACGAAAGCCAGGGCACAAACUGGGAUUAGAUACCCCACUAUGCCUGGCCCUAAAUCUUGAUACUAAUAUACUCACGUAUCCGCCUGAGAACUACGAGCACAAACGCUUAAAA